GAACGCUGGCGGCGUGCCUAAUACAUGCAAGUAGAACGCUGAAGAGAGGAGCUUGCUCUUCUUGGAUGAGUUGCGAACGGGUGAGUAACGCGUAGGUAACCUGCCUUGUAGCGGGGGAUAACUAUUGGAAACGAUAGCUAAUACCGCAUAACAAUGGAUGACACAUGUCAUUUAUUUGAAAGGGGCAAUUGCUCCACUACAAGAUGGACCUGCGUUGUAUUAGCUAGUAGGUGAGGUAAUGGCUCACCUAGGCGACGAUACAUAGCCGACCUGAGAGGGUGAUCGGCCACACUGGGACUGAGACACGGCCCAGACUCCUACGGGAGGCAGCAGUAGGGAAUCUUCGGCAAUGGGGGCAACCCUGACCGAGCAACGCCGCGUGAGUGAAGAAGGUUUUCGGAUCGUAAAGCUCUGUUAUAAGUCAAGAACGGGUGUGAGAGUGGAAAGUUCACACUGUGACGGUAGCUUACCAGAAAGGGACGGCUAACUACGUGCCAGCAGCCGCGGUAAUACGUAGGUCCCGAGCGUUGUCCGGAUUUAUUGGGCGUAAAGCGAGCGCAGGCGGUUUGAUAAGUCUGAAGUUAGAGGCUGUGGCUCAACCAUAGUUCGCUUUGGAAACUGUCAAACUUGAGUGCAGAAGGGGAGAGUGGAAUUCCAUGUGUAGCGGUGAAAUGCGUAGAUAUAUGGAGGAACACCGGUGGCGAAAGCGGCUCUCUGGCUUGUAACUGACGCUGAGGCUCGAAAGCGUGGGGAGCAAACAGGAUUAGAUACCCUGGUAGUCCACGCUGUAAACGAUGAGUGCUAGGUGUUAGACCCUUUCCGGGGUUUAGUGCCGUAGCUAACGCAUUAAGCACUCCGCCUGGGGAGGUACGACCGCAAGGUG
rnacentral:rRNA from 1 species